GGCUCAGUUGGUAGAGCAUGGUGUUUUCAACGCCAAGGUUGUGGGUUCGAUUCCCAC
rnacentral:tRNA from 1 species